rnacentral:rRNA from 1 species
UACGGAGGGUGCAAGCGUUAUCCGGAUUUACUGGGUUUAAAGGGUGCGUAGGUGGGUAGGAAAGUCAGUGAUGAAAUCUUCGGGCUUAACCCGGAAACUGCCAUUGAUACUAUUUAUCUUGAAUACUUUGGAGGUAAGCGGAAUAUGUCAUGUAGCGGUGAAAUGCUUAGAUAUGACAUAGAACACCAAUUGCGAAAGGCAGCUUACUACACAGUUAUUGACACUGAGGCACGAAAGCGUGGGGAUCAAACAGG